AUGAAAUUUCUCUAUGUUCUACCUGGUUGGGAGGGUUCGGCAUCGGAUUCGAGAGUGCUAAAAGAUGCUAUGAGAAUCGAUCGCGAAGAUGCAUUUGUUUUGUCAAUACGAAAGUACUAUCUUGUUGAUGCUGGCUAUACCAAUGGACAUGGAUUUCUAUCUCCAUUCAGAUCCACUCAGUACCACUUGAAAGAGUGGGUUGCAAGUCAACAACAACCCCAAAAUGAAAGAGAGUUGUAUAACUUGCGACAUGCUCGUGCUAGAAAUGUUGUGGAGAGAACCUUUGGCUUGUUGAAGAAAAAAUGGGCCAUCUUGCGUUCUUGUUCUUUCUUUGACAUA
rnacentral:rRNA from 1 species